rnacentral:rRNA from 1 species
AACGAACGCUGGCGGCAUGCCUAACACAUGCAAGUCGAACGAGACCUUCGUGUCUAGUGGCGCACGGGUGCGUAACGCGUGGGAACCUGCCCUUAGGUUCGGAAUAACUCCCCGAAAGGGGUGCUAAUACCGGAUAAUGUCUUCGGACCAAAGAUUUAUCGCCUUUGGAUGGGCCCGCGUUGGAUUAGCUGGUUGGUAGGGUAAAAGCCUACCAAGGCGACGAUCCAUAGCUGGUGUGAGAGGAUGAUCAGCCACACUGGGACUGAGACACGGACCAGACUCCUACGGGAGGCAGCAGUGGGGAAUAUUGGACGAUGGGCGAAAGCCUGAUCCAGCCAUGCCGCGUGAGUGAUGAAGGCCGUAGGGUUGUAAAGCUCUUUUACCCGGGAUGAUAAUGACAGUACCGGGAGAAUAAGCACCGGCUAACUCCGUG